rnacentral:lncRNA from 1 species
AUGGCUGCAGUGUUGGGAGGAGGGGGACGGGGUAAGGAAAUUACACCAUGAGGGCUAUAUCGUUAAACAAGUGCUUUUGGAAUAUUAACUAAAAAACCAAUUCCAAAAAAAAAAAAAAAAAUCUCAACUUAGUCCUUAAACAAAUUCCUCAAACUUGACCUAUUUCACCUGUGUAAAGUUCACAAAGAUGGAGGAGAUUAAUAAAAUAAGAUAUAGUUAAGUUCUUACUAUUUUUUAUGCUCUUUUCUUUUGGUACCAACAACUUUCAUCUGUUCUUUUGUUUCAAACCGAAGAUCAUUUGCCUUUUUACUUGUCGUACGCUUCUUCUUUUCAUGAAUGCUGCUUUGUAGAACACCAUCAUCAUGUUCGUGCUCAAUGGAAUUCUUGUUCAUUUCUUUCUCAUCUCACCCCAAUAGUCUUAUGACCACUUCCAUCCCUAGAACGAGGUUUCUACAAAAGAAUGAUACAUCAACAUAAAACAGACAAUGUGAGAAGCACAAAGAAACAUAACUUUAAAGAGUCAGCUCUGCAGUUUACAAAGAAAGUUCACACAGGCC